rnacentral:rRNA from 1 species
CCUACGGGUGGCUGCAGUGGGGAAUAUUGGACAAUGGGGGGAACCCUGAUCCAGCCAUGCCGCGUGUGUGAAGAAGGCCCUCGGGUUGUAAAGCACUUUCAGUGAGGAAGAACGCCUGUUGGUUAAUACCUAUCAGGAAAGUCAUCACUCACAGAAGAAGCACCGGCUAACUCCGUGCCAGCAGCCGCGGUAAUACGGAGGGUGCGAGCGUUAAUCGGAAUUACUGGGCGUAAAGCGCGCGUAGGUGGCUUGAUAAGCCGGUUGUGAAAGCCCCGGGCUCAACCUGGGAACGGCAUCCGGAACUGUCAAGCUAGAGUGCAGGAGAGGAAGGUAGAAUUCCCGGUGUAGCGGUGAAAUGCGUAGAGAUCGGGAGGAAUACCAGUGGCGAAGGCGGCCUUCUGGACUGACACUGACACUGAGGUGCGAAAGCGUGGGUAGCAAACAGGAUUAGAUACCCUUGUAGUC